rnacentral:lncRNA from 1 species
GAAAAACCUAUUUUGUGACCUCAAAAUAAAUGAUCUGGAGAGUCAAAAUUGAGGAGAGAGAGUUACACGUGCUGUGCAUUCUGUCUUCCUUCGAUGAGAAUGAGGAGGACAGCGCUGCCCUCCCGCCGUAAGCCACAUUCUUUAGGUUGCAAGAGAGCUUGGCGCGUGUCCCCUAGAGUUGAAGGAGCACAGGGAUUUGUAUAUGACUCACUUUUGAAAAAUUCUACGGGCGGAUGGCUGAGUGAUGCAGCCUGAGGUGGCUGAGUAGAAAGGUGGACACUGAGAACAGAUUGUAGUUCACUGAUGAGGAGCACAGACGCUUCCUGGAGGACCAGCUGGGGGGAUUCAGCUUGAAGUCAUCUUGGAAUCUCCCACAGAGAACUUUUCUGGAAGGCCAAGCAGGAUGGAGUCCUGGAAAAUGGAGAAGCCACAACCUGGAAGAAGUGGGGCUUUGAGUGACUGUGUGGAGUGGAGUCCUGCCUCCCCACUCUGCUCAAACACUGACCCAGGUUUCCUGUGACAUCGGCAGGAUGGAAGUGUGCAUGCUUGAGUAGAAAGGAAGAGGCACCAAGAGGAGCUAAAGAUGCUGGAGAGGAAGAGCAUAGGUGUGAACCCACAGACGUAAGAAAAAUGAACAUCUUUUAGAUGGUGGACUGAGACCCCAAUUGCCACACACCUACUUUGGAGAAGAAGCAGAAUGAGAGCCUGGAUACCCCGAAUCCAUGUCUACGUCUCUGUCCACUAUACCACACGGCACCAUUUUAAAACAAACCUAGAAGCCACUGGUGGCUCCAGAAAGACAUUUAUCCCUUAUACUUCAAACCUAGAGAAUGUUGACUGGCAUGGUUCCUUUGGAGCAAAUCCAAUUCUGGAAGAGGAGAGGAGGCUAAGUUAUUUUUUCCCAGCCUUCAUGAGAUCACUGGAAAUGCUCUCAGAAGAUGUGUUAGACUCUAAGAGCUGGAUUUUUCCAUUCAGUUCCCCUUUGUUUUGCUUGGCCUUACAAGGAAGAAAAAUGCUUAACUGAGUGAUCAAGCCAAUGAAACCUGAAUCAGCUGUUUGUUUUAUGUUUUCCUCAUUAAGUAUUUCCAUUUUGUGUUUAAAAUUCAGAAGCUUAUCUUAAAGAGCAAAGGUUACAUUCAAGAUUAAUGUCAAAGAAUCCCUAAGAAAACUGCCUGAGAAACCAGGAUCCUGGUCUUUAGAGGAACUGUUCUUUCUGAGAAGCCUGAUGACUCAUGUUGGUUGUAGAAACUUGUAAUCUGCCAUGAAAAUUAAAGCAUUUACAAUUCAAA